rnacentral:rRNA from 1 species
AUGGCAUCCUCAGUUGUGGUGGAUCACAGCCAGCGUGAGAUGGAGAUCAAAGCCUUCCACGAGAGCAAAGCCGGCGUCAAAGGCCUCGUCGACGCCGGUGUCACCAAGCUUCCCUCCAUGUUCAUACACCCUCCAGAGAAUCUCCUCAGCUAUUCACUCCCUGAGGCUGAAGAAGAAGACGAUCAUCUUCACAAGAUUCGCGGCCUUCAGUUCCCCGUGAUUGAUCUCACCGGGUUUGAUUCCCCGGAGAGCCGAAAGUGGGUCGUGGAGGAGAUAAGGAGCGCGGCAGAGUCAUGGGGCUUCUUUCAGCUGGUGAAUCAUGGGAUUCCUCUCCAUGUCAUGGAGGGAAUCCAGAGAGGAGUCCGAGCUUUCCAUGAGCUUCCUCAGGAGGCGACUUUGCUCGCAAGGUUAACUUCUUCAGCUUUCAUGGAGAUCUCAGCGCAGCAACUCCGGCCGACUGGAGAGAUACCUUAUCUUGCAAGGCUCUACAAGACCCCGAAAGCUUUGAAGCAAUACCACAAAUCUGCAGAGAAGAAGUGA